rnacentral:rRNA from 1 species
GACGAACGCUGGCGGCGUGCUUAACACAUGCAAGUCGAACGGAAAGGCCCUGCUUUUGUGGGGUGCUCGAGUGGCGAACGGGUGGGUAACACGUGAGUAACCUGCCCUUGACUUUGGGAUAACUUCAGGAAACUGGGGCUAAUACCGGAUAGGAGCUCCUGCUGCAUGGUGGGGGUUGGAAAGUUUCGGCGGUUGGGGAUGGACUCGCGGCUUAUCAGCUUGUUGGUGGGGUAGUGGCUUACCAAGGCUUUGACGGGUAGCCGGCCUGAGAGGGUGACCGGCCACAUUGGGACUGAGAUACGGCCUAGACUCCUACGGGAGGCAGCAGUGGGGAAUAUUGCACAAUGGGCGGAAGCCUGAUGCAGCAACGCCGCGUGCGGGAUGACGGCCUUCGGGUUGUAAACCGCUUUCGCCUGUGACGAAGCGUGAGUGACGGUAAUGGGUAAAGAAGCACCGGCUAACUACGUG